GCCGAGGUGGCGAAAUUGGUAGACGCGCACGUUUGAGGGGCGUGUGGAUUAACCUCCAUACGGGUUCAAGUCCCGUCCUCGGCACCA
rnacentral:tRNA from 1 species